rnacentral:rRNA from 1 species
UACGAAGGGGGCUAGCGUUGCUCGGAAUCACUGGGCGUAAAGGGUGCGUAGGCGGGUCUUUAAGUCAGGGGGGAAAUCCUGGAGCUCAACUCCAGAACUGCCUUUGAUACUGAAGAUCUUGAGUUCGGGAGAGGUGAGUGGAACUGCGAGUGUAGAGGUGAAAUUCGUAGAUAUUCGCAAGAACACCAGUGGCGAAGGCGGCUCACUGGCCCGAUACUGACGCUGAGGAGCGAAAGCGUGGGGAGCAAACAGG